AACCCUAAUUGAGUUUGAGAGUCCUCUCCUUCGUCCUCCCUGUCUCCAUCGGCGCCGACCUUGACGAAACGGAUGCUGUAACGGAUGCGUUGCGUGCUCAUCGUAAUUACUCCGAGUGUCUUUAAUUCGCGUCUCUGAUACGACCUCUUCGGUUGCUCCAUGAAAUCAGUCUUUAAUUCGUUAUAUCUUAAUCUGAUUUCCCUUUUCGUGAUUGCUACUUACCGUGAAUUUCGUAAAUGGUUUUUUUCAGGGAUUUGUCUAUUAGUUAAGAUUAUAUCAUUGAUUUGAUUUUUUUUCUGUAUGCACUGAUUACCAGUUGAUAGAAUUUGAUUUUAGAAGAGAUGGUCUUAAACGUCCAGUUGUCUUACCGAACUUAAGGUUUGAAACUUUUACAUGUCUUUUUUUUGGCAGAUCGUAUGAGCUUCUUCUUCUUCUUUAUGUCAGUUUCAGGGACUGCACUAAAAAUCUGGGAGCCUUUGUUUUGUUUCCAGGCAUCUCUUUCUCAAGCACAGAAGAAACAUUAAUACAAACUUUUUUCUCAAUAUGGUUGUGUUCUUGGUGGUCAGUCUAUUAAUCUUAAGAUGUGUUGAUAUAGAUGGAAGAGAGGGGAGCAGAGACAGGCAAAGAGACCGUAGAGAUAAGCAUAUAGAUCAUCAAAACUUACGACAAGGAUAGACUGAGAAGCAGAAGCAGAAGCCGAGAGAGGGAAAGAGGAGGCAAGGAUCUGGAUUAUGACUAUGACCAUGCUCGGAACAAAGACAGAGAAUACAGUCGUGGAAGCAGUCCGGUCGAUGUUCCUCCACGGUUGAGGUUAAGUUGCUCCGCCAGGAAUGUCAAACGCUGUAAGGAAUGAAGCAUAGAGCCCCUGCAUAUAUAAAGUGCAUUUCAGACUACGGCCAAUGUAUUUGUUGUCUUCUAUUCUGGGGAAAGAGCAUAAAGUUUUUUUAAAAAGAUUUCAAGGCUUUUGGGGCCAAUGACUAUCCUAUUCCUUUCCAUGAUGAUUCUGGCAGACGAGCUUAAAUGAUGAUAGAGUUAUAUAUAAUCUCUUGAUAUGUGAUUGAUAUUGGGUUCUUUUCUUCUGUCCCAACAUCAUGAAUUCUAUGUAUUUUUUAAUCUGCAUAUACCUAGACGCUAUUUAUUAAAACGAUUUCUUUUAUACAA